rnacentral:rRNA from 1 species
GACGAACGCUGGCGGCGUGCCUAAUACAUGCAAGUCGAGCGGAACUGGGGGAGCUUGCUCCUUCCAGUUUAGCGGCGGACGGGUGAGUAAAACGUGGGCACCCUGCCCGGCCGGUCGGGAUAACUCCGGGAGACCGGUGCUAAUCCCGAAUAGUUUGGCGCGUCUCCUCACGCGCUGCGGCAAGCCGGUUUCGUCUGUCAUGGCAGGACGGGCGCGCGGCGCAUUUGCUAGUUGGUGGGGUAACGGCCCACCAAGGCGACGAUGCGUAGACGAGCUGAGCGGGUGACCGGCCACACUGGGACUGAGACACGGCCCAGACUCCUACGGGAGGCAGCAGUAGGGAAUCGUCCGCAAUGGACGCAAGUCUGACGGAGCAACGCCGCGUGAGUGACGAAGGUUUUCGGAUCGUAAAACUCUGUUGUGAGGGAAGAACACGUACCAACUAACUAUUGGUACCUUGACGGUACCUCACCAGAAAGCCACGGCUAACUACGUGCCAGCCGCCGCAGUAA